rnacentral:rRNA from 1 species
AGAGUUUGAUCCUGGCUCAGGACGAACGCUGGCGGCGUGCCUAACACAUGCAAGUCGAACGGAACUGUUUUGAAAGAUUUCUUCGGAAUGAAUUUGAUUUAGUUUAGUGGCGGACGGGUGAGUAACGCGUGAGUAACCUGCCUUCAAGAGGGGGAUAACAUUCUGAAAAGAAUGCUAAUACCGCAUGACAUAUCGGAACCACAUGGUUCUGAUAUCAAAGAUUUUAUCGCUUGAAGAUGGACUCGCGUCCGAUUAGUUAGUUGGUGAGGUAACGGCUCACCAAGACUGCGAUCGGUAGCCGGACUGAGAGGUUGAACGGCCACAUUGGGACUGAGACACGGCCCAGACUCCUACGGGAGGCAGCAGUGGGGGAUAUUGCGCAAUGGGGGCAACCCUGACGCAGCAACGCCGCGUGAAGGAUGAAGGUUUUCGGAUUGUAAACUUCUUUUAUUAAGGACGAAAAAUGACGGUACUUAAUGAAUAAGCUCCGGCUAACUACGUGCCAGCAGCCGCGGUAAUACGUAGGGAGCAAGCGUUGUCCGGAUUUACUGGGUGUAAAGGGUGCGUAGGCGGCUUUGCAAGUCAGAUGUGAAAUCUAUGGGCUCAACCCAUAAACUGCAUUUGAAACUGUAGAGCUUGAGUGAAGUAGAGGCAGGCGGAAUUCCCCGUGUAGCGGUGAAAUGCGUAGAGAUGGGGAGGAACACCAGUGGCGAAGGCGGCCUGCUGGGCUUUAACUGACGCUGAGGCACGAAAGCGUGGGUAGCAAACAGGAUUAGAUACCCUGGUAGUCCACGCUGUAAACGAUGAUUACUAGGU